rnacentral:lncRNA from 1 species
UAUAUCUAUCACACCGAUAUUAAUGAAUGAAAUUACUUUCUUCACACUGAGUUUUAUAUAGAAAAUGUUAGCUACCAAAGCAAAUAAGUAAAAAAAUUGUCAAAAAACUUUAACUACAAGCUGCUGCAUCAGGCAAACGCGCGAGUAAGUCCAUAAAUAAAAUAUACAAAAUAAAUAAUAUUGUGUUCCAUGAAGCCCCUCAGUCCCAACAUCGCUUGAGGAGCGAUUUGAUGCGCUAGUAUGGGACAACCUUGCUGCCCACCAGCCGGAGCACCCAGGAAACCAUCUCUUCCCAGAGCCCCCUGUGACGGCACAGUUCCCUGGGGAUGGACGCUUGUCCGGCCAGUUGCAGCUUGAGGCAGCUUUAAACUAUUCCAUGCCGACAUGCCGACAUUGCAUGCACCUUUGUAGACUUUGAAAGUUCAAUAGUUAUGAGAGAUAUGUAUGUAUAUUUAUGUAUGCAUGACAAAAAACUGUCAUUGAUCGCUCAUGGCUUUCAUGGUUCGAGCUUCAAGCAAUUACGGCACAAGUUCAAUGGCCCAUCAACAAGCGAUCUGGCCAGACAGUGGGCUCCCAAUCAGUGCGGAAGAAACCGAGACCACGGCACCACGAAUUAUAGUUACUGUUCCAAAGCCAAAGCCAAAGCAAAGGCAAAGGCAAAGAGGAAGACUCGUGUCGCUUAUUAGUUUUCGGCGCAUGCGCCACAGCCAAAGGGGAUGGAGAGAGAGAGAGCGAGAGAGAGGAAGGAGAAAAGAAACAACAACCGUUUGAAAUGAAAUUGAAAGCUAAAGCGAAAGUGUAUUUAUUUUUUGUUGUUUUCUUUUCUUUCUUUCUGGCUUGCUGGCAUUACAUUUUUGUGUCACUUUUCUGCUUUACUUUUCUGCCGCCUGCCGCCUGCCGUCUGACGGCAACAAUUCUUCAAAAUUUCUUUCGUUUUGUCAACGGUUUUCACUUUCUCUCUGUCUCGCUCUCUCUCUCUCUCUCUCUAGCUUAUUCAUUCGGUAUCAGUUUGGUCAAGAGUUGUCUGCAGAGGGAGAAAGAGAGAGGAGAAGCAGCAGCCGCAUUGUUAAUAACAAAUUUGUUAGACAAUAAUUGAUGAAAGCCAGAAGCGGGGGAAACAUCUCAAUAACGAGAGUGAAAUCUGUUCAAUGGGGAGAGGGAGUGCAGAGUGUGUGAUUGGUGACCCCUUUGCAUAGCAGAGCGAGUUCAAAAGUUGAAAACAAAAAAAAAAAACAUUCACAUUUUGAGCUCCAACUCGAAUCUGAAUCUGAAGCUUAAAACCGAAGUUGAAGUUG